CAUUAACUUACAGGAUAAUUUGCUUUGCAGCAAUAUUAAUUGAUAAAAGUCCUGUAUUUAAAUUAACAAUUAACCUAGGCUAUUGGAUGAGACAGUUGAAUUUCAUCUUGUUGAAGUGACUUUCUCAGUGUCACCUAGCUAAAGAAUGGAAACAUUGAGGCUUAAAACCAUAUUUGUUUGAAUCCAUGUGUUUUGAUUUGUCCUUUACAGACCACUGACCACAAUCUGGCCCAUCAAGUGGUCCGAAGCGUGGCACAGAGUAUUGAGCCUUUGUGACAUCUUCCGUUAGUUGUGACAUCUGGAGCUCUCCCAUUGAACUCGAAGGCACACAGAACAUUGAAAAGAAUGAUAAUGAGAGAGACAACUACGAAUGGCUGUCGAGUCACAGAAGAAGUCAUGUGGAGUCAUGCUGAGGAGAAAUUCGAUGGACAUCAUAGGACACCCCCCCCAAAUGCCCAAGAUUGCUGGCAUCCCUAUCUCUGAAAGUAGAAGGAUGCAAAUGAACUAAAAAUUUAAAAAAAUGAUUGAAGUCUUAAGGUGGAGUAAGACUCACAUAUUCCUACCUCCUCCCACAUGUACAUCUUGUAAAUGAGCAAUGACAUCUCUACUGUGACAGAAGACAGAAUUUUUAUCUUUUGGAGAAAAAAAAUUAAAAGAUGUCAUAUUAAGGGAGAUGGUACCAUUCCAAAAACCAGAUGAUUAAAUGAAAGUUCCAAGAUGUGUAAAGAAUUUGAGUCCCCCCCAGUAACUGAUCCCAAGAUAAGGCAUUCACAUUAGUUUCUGUGAGGAAACUUCUAAGGAAAUCAUGUAUAAGUAAAGACCACAGAAUAAAGCUCCUCUUAUACACCCA
rnacentral:lncRNA from 1 species